rnacentral:rRNA from 1 species
UACGUAGGUGGCAAGCGUUGUCCGGAAUUAUUGGGCGUAAAGCGCGCGCAGGCGGUUCUUUAAGUCUGAUGUGAAAGCCCACGGCUCAACCGCGGAGGGUCAUUGGAAACUGGAGAACUUGAGUACAGAAGAGGAAAGCGGAAUUCCACGUGUAGCGGUGAAAUGCGUAGAGAUGUGGAGGAACACCAGUGGCGAAGGCGGCUUUCUGGUCUGUAACUGACGCUGAGGCGCGAAAGCGUGGGGAGCAAACAGG